GACGAACGCUGGCGGCGUGCUUAACACAUGCAAGUCGAGCGGAAAGGCCCACUUGUGGGUACUCGAGCGGCGAACGGGUGAGUAACACGUGAGUAAUCUGCCCUUCACUUGGGGAUAACGUCCAGAAAUGGGUGCUAAUACCCGGUACUCCUACGGAUGCGCAUGCAUGUGUGGGGAAAGGUUUUUCUGGUGGGGGAUGUGCUCGCGGCCUAUCAGCUUGUUGGUGGGGUAAUGGCCUACCAAGGCUUUGACGGGUAGCCGGCCUGAGAGGGAGACCGGCCACACUGGGACUGAGACACGGCCCAGACUCCUACGGGAGGCAGCAGUGGGGAAUAUUGGACAAUGGGCGGAAGCCUGAUCCAGCAACGCCGCGUGAGGGAUGACGGCCUUCGGGUUGUAAACCUCUUUCACCAUUGACGAAGCUGCUCAUUUUUGUGGGUGGUGACGGUAGGUGGGGAAGAAGCACCGGCCAACUACGUGCCAGCAGCCGCGGUAAAAC
rnacentral:rRNA from 1 species